CGCCUUUCUUUGCAACGAAAGUUACGGUGUAUCUAAGUUUAUCUCCUAUAUUUCUGAAUACAAGUUUGGUUGGCUUCACUUUCACCACCACCGCAGAUGGCGCAGUCACGGCCACUUCAUAUACGGAUCCUGCCUUCCCCACAUUGGUCAACUCUCGGGUAUACCUUCUUACAACCCUUUUGCCUGCAAACACCACCGAGAAUGAUGGGUAAUU
rnacentral:misc_RNA from 1 species